rnacentral:rRNA from 1 species
UGAGCUCCUGCCGCAUGGUGGGGGUUGGAAAGAUUUUUUGGUUGGGGAUGGGCUCGCGGCCUAUCAGCUUGUUGGUGAGGUAAUGGCUCACCAAGGCGUCGACGGGUAGCCGGCCUGAGAGGGUGACCGGCCACACUGGGACUGAGACACGGCCCAGACUCCUACGGGAGGCAGCAGUGGGGAAUAUUGCACAAUGGGCGGAAGCCUGAUGCAGCAACGCCGCGUGAGGGAUGACGGCCUUCGGGUUGUAAACCUCUUUUAGCAGGGAAGAAGCGAAAGUGACGGUACCUGCAGAAAAAGCACCGGCUAACUACGUGCCAGCAGCCGCGGUAAUACGUAGGGUGCAAGCGUUAUCCGGAAUUAUUGGGCGUAAAGAGCUCGUAGGCGGUCUGUCGCGUCUGCUGUGAAAUCCCGAGGCUCAACCUCGGGCCUGCAGUGGGUACGGGCAGACUAGAGUGCGGUAGGGGAGAUUGGAAUUCCUGGUGUAGCGGUGGAAUGCGCAGAUAUCAGGAGGAACACCGAUGGCGAAGGCAGAUCUCUGGGCCGUAACUGACGCUGAGGAGCGAAAGGGUGGGGAGCAAACAGGCUUAGAUACCCUGGUAGUCCACCCCGUAAACGUUGGGAACUAGUUGUGGGGUCCAUUCCACGGAUUCCGUGACGAAGCUAACGCAUUAAGUUCCCCGCCUGGGGAGUACGGCCGCAAGGCUAAAACUCAAAGGAAUUGACGGGGACCCGCACAAGCGGCGGAGCAUGCGGAUUAAUUCGAUGCAACGCGAAGAACCUUACCAAGGCUUGACAUAUACCGGAAACGGCCAGAGAUGGUCGCCCCGCAAGGUCGGUAUACAGGUGGUGCAUGGUUGUCGUCAGCUCGUGUCGUGAGAUGUUGGGUUAAGUCCCGCAACGAGCGCAACCCUCGUUCUAUGUUGCCAGCACGUAAUGGUGGGAACUCAUGGGAUACUGCCGGGGUCAACUCGGAGGAAGGUGGGGAUG